AAGGCACAGGCAGUGACUUCAAAAACAAAAGACUGCUGUGAGGCGCGAUCCUUUUCCAGUGUCCCCCUAGCGGCAGGGGCCAAUAGCAUUUUUGGCUAUUGGCCCCCGAAAUCCGGGGGCCAAUAGAUUUUUCCUAAAACUUUCGAAGGAAUUGCUAUACGCAGCUUGAAGAAUAUCAAAGGGAGAAACAACGAAUAAUCGAUCAACGAGUAAGAAUAAGCCAGGGGAAAUCUAGUGCUAGGCUUGCUGUUCAACCUGAGCUGGCCCAGGAGCGAGAGUUGUCAAGAGAUGCUCAAAAGAAGUAUCCAUCUUGAUAUGGUCCAUACCAAGUACUUGGAACGGAAGACCCAAAAUCCCAAGAAGUAAGACAGUGGAAAUCCUAGCAAUCAGACUAAGCGAUUAAAUAGUCUUCAUGACAAGCAUGUGCUGGUGUCAUUGAAUAAUCAUUGCCAUUCCAUUGUCUUAUUUUUGAUUUGUGUGAAAACCAAACAGUUUUCGUGCAGUUUCAAAUGGUGUAAGUUUUUCAAUGAAAGUGCUGUAAUCUCAGAUAUCCAAAGAAGGCGCGUAUUGACAAGAUAAAUUUGAUCGUCUCAAUGAGAAGAGUGUUAUCGUGACAAAACCAGAUUUAGAUAGUGGUGUAUUCCCGUGACACACACUUGGUUCAGUUCCUUUGAUCGAACAAUGCAUGGUCAUUGAUGCACAGAUGUUAAGUCUACGAUAUAAUUAAGCAAUUGUUCAAAAACCAGAACGAUAUGACCAUAUUUGUUUGCUUCUUCGCCCGCUGAAUCUCCGUUCGCAGAAGGUGAAGAUUUCAUCGAUGAGUUUUACGGAAAAAGGAAGAAGAACUAUUGGACGAAUUGGUGAUGGGCGUAGAGGAGUUUGAAGAAGAAGGAGACUUCGGAUAUGCCACUUAAGCAACUGAAGAUUGCGAUUCGGACGCCUUACACGAGCUCACGUCUACUUCAUCACCAAAUUACUAAAUUUUCUUUUGGAAGUCUGUAUUGAAUAAACCAAUCUAUUACAUACACAUAUUUAGCUGAA